UUGAGCAUGAGAUAAAAGGAAUAGAAAGAAUGAACUGGUUUACCAGCUGUUCAUUGCUUCACAGGGGAAGAAGGAAACAGUGAUUCAGAGGUGGAGGCAGGGGAAAAACAAAGCCCAGUGCCUCCAUAUUAAUUACAUUCAGCUCUGGGACCAUUCAGGAGGGAACUCACAAAACUAUGAAAAGGAUUGUAUCCAUGACAAGUAGAAGAAUGAGAGAGACGGCGUAGAGGUUGAAGCUUAAGUGAGACCUGAUAUUGCCUGGGCUCCAGCUGAUGUUUCAAAGCCGAGCCAAGCGAUUUACAGGACUGUUUUCCUGACU